UACGUAGGAUGCAAGCGUUGUUCGGAAUUACUGGGCGUAACGAGUACGUAGGCGGUUUGAUAAGUCUGCUAUUAAAGACUGGAGCUUAACUCCAGGACUGUAGUGGAAACUGUCAGACUAGAGGACAAUAGAGGAAGUCGGAAUUCUCAGUGUAGCGGUGAAAUGCGUAGAUACUGGGAAGAACACCAGUGGCGAAGGCGGCAUCCUGGACCGGCAUUGACGCUGAGGCGCGAAAGCCAGGGGAGCAAACGGG
rnacentral:rRNA from 1 species